CUUGAAACUACCAAAAUUUUCUAGAUCCUUCUAGACAGUAGGAUCUCUUCUAUUAUUCUCUUCUGUUUCUUUUUGCUAAUGCAGGCUUUUAUGUUUCAGCAAAGAAAGCCAUAAUGAACAAGUUCAACUCAGAGCUCAAUUCCUGAAGAGUAGACUGGAUUUGAGAUCUUCAUAGAAUCAUAGAAUGGCCUGGGUUGAAAAGGACCACAAUGAUCAUUGAGUUUCAACCCCCCUGCUAUGUGCAGGGUCACCAGCCACCAGACCAGGCUGCCCAGAGCCACAUCCA
rnacentral:lncRNA from 1 species